rnacentral:rRNA from 1 species
GACGAACGCUGGCGGCGUGCUUAACACAUGCAAGUCGAACGGAAAGGCCCUGCUUUUGUGGGGUUCUCGAGUGGCGAACGGGUGAGUAACACGUGAGUAACCUGCCCUUGACUUUGGGAUAACUUCAGGAAACUGGGGCUAAUACCGGAUAGGAGCUCCUGCUGCAUGGUGGGGGUUGGAAAGUUUCGGCGGUUGGGGAUGGACUCGCGGCUUAUCAGCUUGUUGGUGGGGUAGUGGCUUACCAAGGUUUUGACGGGUAGCCGGCCUGAGAGGGUGACCGGCCACAUUGGGACUGAGAUAGGGCGCAGACUCCUACGGGAGGCAGCAGUGGGGAAUAUUGCACAAUGGGCGGAAGCCUGAUGCAGCAACGCCGCGUGCGGGAUGACGGCCUUCGGGUUGUAAACCGCUUUCGCCUGUGACGAAGCGUGAGUGACGGUAAUGGGUAAAGAAGCACCGGCUAACUACGUG